rnacentral:rRNA from 1 species
ACUAACACAAGCCCAAACACUACAACCAUAAAAUUACAAAACUAGUAUAAAACAAAACAUUUACCAACCUGUUAAAAGUAUAGGAGAUAGAAAUUUUACUUGGAGCUAUAGAGAAAGUACCGCAAGGGAAAUAUGAAAGAAUGUUUAAAGUGAUAAAAAGCAAAGCUUACCCCUUUUACCUUUUGCAUAAUGAUUUAACUAGACCUAACCUGGCAAAAAGAAUUUAAGUCAGAGUACCCGAAACCAGACGAGCUACCUACGAGCAGCUUUAAGAGCAAAUUCGUCUAUGUGGCAAAAUAGUGAAAAGACUUGUAGGUAGAGGUGAUAGGCCUACCGAGCCUGGUGAUAGCUGGUUGUCCAGAAUAGAAUUUCAGUUCAAACUUAAAUUUACCAAAAAAAUAAAAAAUUAAAAUGUAAAUUUAAGAAAUAAUCCAAGAGGGUACAGCCUCUUGGACACAGGAUACAACCUUAUUUAGAGAGUAAUAAUAUGAAAUUACCAUAGUAGGCCUAAAAGCAGCCACCAAUUAAGAAAGCGUUCAAGCUCAACACUAUAACAACUAACCCAAAUCCCAAUAAUCAAUUAACCAACUCCUAAAUUAAUACUGGACUAUUCUAUUAAAAAAUAGAAGCAAUACUGUUAAUAUGAGUAACAAGAAAUAUUUUCUCCUAGCAUAAAUGUAUAUCAUGAACGAAUAACUCACUGAUAGUUAACAGAAAAUAAACUCAACCCACCAAUAAAAUAUUUAUCUAUCAAUCUGUUAAACCAACACAGGUAUGCUACAUUAAAGGAAAGAUUAAAAGGAGUAAAAGGAACUCGGCAAACACAAACCCCGCCUGUUUACCAAAAACAUCACCUCCAGCAUUAACAGUAUUGGAGGCACUGCCUGCCCAGUGACACUAGUUAAACGGCCGCGGUAUCCUGACCGUGCAAAGGUAGCAUAAUCACUUGUUCUCUAAUUAAGGACUUGCAUGAAUGGCCACACGAGGGUUUUACUGUCUCUUACUCCCAAUCAGUGAAAUUGACCUUCCCGUGAAGAGGCGGGAAUAAUAAAAUAAGACGAGAAGACCCUAUGGAGCUUUAAUUAAUUAACCCACAAAAACACUAAUAAACCAAAAGGACUAAAAAAUUUUAAAAUUGGGUUAACAAUUUAGGUUGGGGUGACCUCGGAGCAAAAAAAAACCUCCGAGUGAUUUUAAAUUUAGACUUACCAGUCAAAAUAACCAAAUCAUUUAUUGAUCCAAAACAUUUGAUCAACGGAACAAGUUACCCUAGGGAUAACAGCGCAAUCUUGUUUAAGAGUCCAUAUCGACAACAAGGUUUACGACCUCGAUGUUGGAUCAGGACAUCCUAAUGGUGCAGCAGCUAUUAACGGUUCGUUUGUUCAACGAUUAAAGUCCUACGUGAUCUGAGUUCAGACCGGAGUAAUCCAGGUCGGUUUCUAUCUAUUAUAUGCUUUUCCCAGUACGAAAGGACAAGAAAGGCGGGGCCCACUUAAACAAAGCGCCCCCAACCAACAAAUGCAAUAAUCUCAAUUUGAUAUAAAAUAAACAUAAACUACUCUAGAAAAGAGUUCA